CAAUCACUCAGUGACCCAAAGACACUCAAGGAACUCAAGCUGUUUUUAAAAGGCCUCUCAUUCAUUUGAAUGGAGCAAGUCCAGCGGUGCAGUGGGGGUGCCAGUGCAGGGGACUACGGCAAAAACGACACAGCGUCACCUGGCAAAAAAGUUGAACCUGGUUCGAAUUUUGCUGCAAUGCAUUGUGACGUCAUCAGGCAUGAGCAUGCUUAUCUGUACUUGCCGGUGUGCUUGAGAAAGAACAAGACAUGGCGUUGCCAGUAGAGAAAAAGCAAACAAGAAAAGGAGGACGGCCGAAGCACUAAUAUAUGGGAGAAUUUCCAGGCGUUAUUUGUCUUAUUUAUAAUAUAUUUAUGUUAUUUUUAUUGUUGUUAAAUGAAAACAGUUCCAGCUCCAGUUCUUCUUCCAGCAGCUUGUCCCAGAAGCAUUUUCUUACAGAAUGAGUUCAAAUUUGAAAGUUUACUUUUAAAUGAGGCUCAGUGUGUUAUCCAACGCAAAAACUCGGGAAUCUCCAUCAGUUAUAAAUAAACCAAACAGCCUCAUCAUUUGUUACUACGAACAAGACAACAGCAAAAGCGUAGCAUAAUAAGAAGCCUCCCUUGCUGUAAUCUGGGACAAUAACUCAGGUUGUUACACAAUUGUACGUGGACACUGCAUUUCCCAACCUUUGUUUUUCUAAUACACUGUGGAGAAAAAGAGUUAUGUAACGAAAUUGGUCAAACGGGAAAAAAAGAAAUAAAAUACAUGACGAGUGUGGAAUUCCUGGCCACAUUCACAAAGCACAGGAGAUAUUUCACAUUCACAAUAUCUCCUGUGCUUUGAAGCAGCAUCAUAGCUCAUUAGUUUCACAUUUUUUUUUCGCUGCAUAUCUUUUAACAGAAUAAACAUGCUGGACUUUGUGUGAAAUGUUGAUCAGUGUUACGGACUAUAAAUUUGUUUGGGACUUGGCAUGAAAAGGUCUUUUGUCAGCUGUCUUGGUCACAGACUUGAUGCAAUCAGGCAACUCAGUGAUGUAUUUAGGGAUCUGUUCAUACAGACAGGAAAUCGGAUAGUGUUGUAAUUGAAACAUUUUUCUCUUGUGCCUGUCCUGUGCCAGAUCUGGACAGAUGUCUUACUAAUAAACUGGUGCACUUUAGAUUUUUUACUGACCCUGAUGGACAGAACCAGUUGAGCUUGAGGAAUACCUAAUGUUUAUCUUGCCAGAGGACUGUAUCACAGUGCUUCCAGUGAGCAAUCCUGUCCAGUUUUCUUCGGGGAAACAUUCCGAUUUAACCUAAAUGUCGAUAGAUCUAAAUAAACUAAUGUACCUGUCAAGAGUCUGCAGCCACAUCUGGGGCUCUGUGAGGCUGUAAUGAUCGACUAGAAAAGAACCAUAGAUGAAAAGCCAGAGGAGUUCAGAAAGGCCUUGACUGUCUGUACCAUAGUAUUCCAUGUAAAUUGUAGCAUAAAUUAGCAAGACUUACUAUUUUUGAUGGAUGCUCAUUUCUUUUCGUACAAGAACAUGUGCAUGUAUCGAUUCAGUCGCUCUUUAUUUUAGGGGUAAUUUCCUAAUAAUUUCUUGAACAUCUCUUUGAAUUAAAUAGGUUAUUUGGUAUUAACUGCAGGGAAAAUAGAGACAAAGUUUUGAGACAGUUAUUUUGCAACUGCCAAUUUUUUUUUUUUUUUUUUGUUAUUGUUGUUGUUACUAUUAUCCAAUGUCCAAUUAAAUCACAGUAAUCAAAGCACUCAUCUAUGCAGUUCCAACAAACCACCUUGCCAUACCAACGCAAGACAAUAAUAUAACAAUAAUAUGCACUAACCAUGUGCAGAAUAUCACUAGGCACUGUCAUUGAGUUUGGUCCUAGUUUUUAGUUCAUUUUAUGCUUAACAUUUUAGUUGAUGUUUUAUUUAUUUUGUUUUC